rnacentral:rRNA from 1 species
UACGGAGGGAGCUAGCGUUAUUCGGAAUUACUGGGCGUAAAGCGCACGUAGGCGGCUUUGUAAGUUAGAGGUGAAAGCCUGGAGCUCAACUCCAGAAUUGCCUUUAAGACUGCAUCGCUUGAAUCCAGGAGAGGUGAGUGGAAUUCCGAGUGUAGAGGUGAAAUUCGUAGAUAUUCGGAAGAACACCAGUGGCGAAGGCGGCUCACUGGCCCGAUACUGACGCUGAGGCACGAAAGCGUGGGGAGCAAACAGGG